UAUUAGAUACCCCGGUAGUCCCAGCCGUAAACUAUGCUCGCUAGGUGUCAGGCAUGGCGCGACCGUGUCUGGUGCCGCAGGGAAGCCGUGAAGCGAGCCACCUGGGAAGUACGGCCGCAAGGCUGAAACUUAAAGGAAUUGGCGGGGGAGCACAACAACGGGUGGAGCCUGCGGUUUAAUUGGACUCAACGCCGGGAAGCUCACCGGAUAAGACAGCUGAAUGAUUGCCGGGCUGAAGACUCUGCAUGACUAGCUGAGAGGUGGUGCAUGGCA
rnacentral:rRNA from 2 species